AGUCGUACGAGAAUUUUUAAUUCAAGUGGCGGACGGGUGAGUAACACGUAAGAAUUUGCCUUUAGGAGGGGGAUAAUAACUGGAAACGGUUGCUAAUACCCCAUAUGCUUUCGAGUGAAAUGGAGUUUUCCGCCUAGAGAGAAGCUUGCGGCUGAUUAGCUUGUUGGUGGGGUAAUGGCCUACCAAGGCGACGAUCAGUAUCUGGUUUGAGAGGAUGAUCAGACACACUGGAACUGAGACACGGUCCAGACUCCUACGGGAGGCAGCAGUGGGGAAUUUUCCGCAAUGGGCGAAAGCCUGACGGAGCAAUCUCGCGUGAGGGAUGACGGCCUAUGGGUUGUAAGCCUCUUUUUUCAGGGAGGAACAAAAUGACGUGUACCUGAAGAAUAAGCAUCGGCUAACUCCGUGCCAGCAGCCGCGGUAAGACGGAGGAUGCAAGUGUUAUCCGGAAUCACUGGGCGUAAAGCGUCUGUAGGUGGUUUAGUAAGUCAACUGUUAAAUCUUGAAGCUCAACUUCAAAAUCGCAGUCGAAACUAUUAGACUAGAGUAUAGUAGGGGUAAAGGGAAUUUCCAGUGGAGCGGUGAAAUGCGUAGAGAUUGGAAAGAACACCGAUGGCGAAGCACUUUACUGGGCUAUUACUGACACUCAGAGACGAAAGCUAGGGUAGCAAAUGGGAUUAGAUACCCCAGUAGUCCUAG
rnacentral:rRNA from 1 species